UUCUUUGGGGGGGGGUGAGAGGAAAGCAGAGCAGGGGGUGAUGACAUUCUCCUCUUGGGGGAAGGGAACACCAAUAACAUCCUCUAGCCUGCCCCAGUCCAGGUGCAGCCCAGUCCCGGGAGAGGACCCUGCUAUGGUCUGGGAGGUGGCGAGAUGGAGGAAGGGGAACAGAGCAGGGCAUGGGACGUGGGGACAGAAGCCCAAAUGCCUGGGUUCUCUCUUUUCUGGGGGGGGACUGCAGCACCCCGAUCUCUCCCACGUAGCAGGAGGUACCUGGGCAGCACAGGCUGGAGUUGCCUGUGCAGGACAGGGCCAGGGAGAUGCUGCAGGGGGACACCUAGUGCCUGAAUGGGACCAACAUCCCUGAGACCAGAGCUGAUCCCAAUGAUGGGGAAGCUGAGGCUUCAGCACAGAAGAAACAUUUCUGUGUAUUCAUUGGCUUCCAAUCCUACUGGCAUUUCUACACGGGGGUGUCGGACCCCGGCCUGAUGUGUGCAGCUUAACCCACAGCAGUGAUGUGGACAACCAGCAAAUCCUCCACUACGACAGCGGGACGCAGACACAGGAGCUACCUGGGGGCUAGGUGCAGGGGGCUGUUGGCCCAGACUUCUGGGAUGACAAAAGCAGGGCCUUGUGGGACUGGCAGGGGGGAUUUUGAAUGAACCUGGCCACACUGCGGCAGUGCUACAAGCAGACCAGGGGUGAGUGUGAGCAGGAGGCCAUGGGGGACCCUGGCUCUGAGGGUGAUUGACAAGGGUGUGUGGGAGGCACCUGCCCAUCAGCAGCACAGGGUGGGGAGCCGGGAGGGUAUCACAUUGUCUUGUGUCUGGUCUGUGUGUCCCUGCAGCCAGCUCCUCCCUGCCAUUGUUUCGGCAGGGGUCCUGGGAUAUGGGCCAGGAGGAUGGUGAAGGGGCUGCUGGUCUCUAGCAAAGCUGGUUUGGGCACUGGGCCUCACAACAGGGCAGGAAGGAACAAGGUGAUGGGAGGGGGUGUUGCGAGAUGCAGAGAAAGGGACAAAAGGAGAAAGUGGGGGUGGGGAGGGAGGGAGGCAGAGAACAAAGUGGAAGUUGAUCUCAGGGAGAAGGACCAGAUGGACGCCUGGGCAUGUGAGGGCCAUAGCGGGCAGUGACUGGGGGGUCUCAGACAUCCAUGCAGGGGGAGUUGUAGGGUGCAGGGACCAGGCCCCAUCACCCCUGGAUGCAGGCAGGGGCUGGGCUGAACAGGGACCAGCCCUGGGGGUACCUCUGGGGCCGCAGAGUCGGAUCGCUGCUCUGGGCAGCUGCAGCAGCCAUCGCUCAGGCUCUGCUCCUGGGUCUUGCUGCCACAGAGGGGAGUUCUCAGCGCCUCGCUGCUUCUGUACGGAGAAGCAACAUUUGGCUUUCCAGCCUGGACUCGGCCAGGCCGGUCUCACCUGCCCCUUCCUCCCCCGACCUCCCCUUUUCCCUUUCAGGGGCUGUUCCCACCCCCUUCCCCAGACCUGGGCUCCUGUAUUCCCAGGGUGCAUGGGGGCCAUAGUUGUGUCCCCUCAGGGCUGGGCCCCUCCAGUCCCCGAGAGGGGUUGUGGGCUUUACAGGCCGGCGCCCCCCUCCACAUAGCCCAAAAGCUCCCUUGGAGCUCCCUCAGAUGCUUUCAGGCAUCGGGGCAGCUAUUUUGUCUCAAAGCAAAACUUGCUCACAAAUACAGGUGGAGCAGACCCAGCUCCACGUGGGUUUUUUGAGUGGUUCUGAAGUGGAAAAGUUUGGGAUUUGCUGAUUCUUCUGGGAGGGGAGGUAUGAAGCAAAAAGGGAAAUCAGUGAGCAUUCAUCUUGUAUACAGGGAGCUCCCAGAACAUGGAGAACAGAAAAAGCAAUUGAACAUUCCCAGGGAGUGCUCAACUUUUUACAUCAUUGGGAUUCGAAACUCCAGUUCUCCUAUGCUUUGUGCGUGAUUGAAAAGGGAGAAGUCUAUAUCUCAUUGAACCAUUCAAAGCAACUAAAACUAAAAGCUGCUUGCAACUCUGCAUUAUUUUGCUUCUUGUGCUUGUCCUGCCAAGAGAACAUAAAAUCCAAGGGUAGUUCAGGUCCCUUUCACACACGCCUUAAGUCCAGGUUUCACUGUUGUCAGGUACUAAUAAUGUACCUUUUCUUUAGCUUUGCAGAAUGGCAAAGAGACUGUUGAGUUUGGACUUUUUCUGUUCAAAGAAGGCUGAAACUCCAGCCCCGAGCACAGGCAGUGCAGUUCUGAAUUCUGGUACCAGAAGCAGCUACAGUGAGAGUGACCCUCUAGAUUAGGUUGCCACAUUAUGCACAAGCACUUGUAGAGAUGUUAGUAUAGCUUCCAGCAGCAGAGGCCCUUGUUUUGGGCCAGAUGCAGCUUUGUAAUAUAUUGAGGAAGGGCCGUAUCAGCCCAUAAUUGUAUUCCAGGCACUCUGUCUGGCAAUAAAAUAAGAAAAUUCAGAAAAGAAUGGUACAGUGAUCACAAAUGGCUUGCAUACAGUGUCCAUCAGGAUACAGCUUUCUGUUUCUGUGGUUGAGCAUUUGGCAGUUCCCAAAUGGGUGACCAAGCAUCACAACUUGACAGAGGAAAAAAAACAGUGGAUGAAAACUGAGCACACUUACAAAGUGCAUCACAGACUGUGUUUUGUGCUCGCCGAGGCAUACCUUUUGAGGGAGCUCAUUCCACAAAUCAUGGAAACUUGUGGGAAUUGAUGAAACUGCAUAGUGAAGACAACAAAGUGAUUCAGCGGUUUAUGAUUAACCGAGACAAGUUCUUCACCUACCUACACAGCUCCUGUCAAAAUGAAAUGCUUGAAAUUAUGGCUUCAAGUCCCAGAAUUCAAUAGUAAGAGAAGCAAAGGAAGCUGGAGUGUUUGCAAUCAUUGCAGAUGAGCCAAUGGAUCUCUCCAGGCAUGAAAAAGUCAUUCUUACACUGCGAUAUGUAAACCAGUCCUUUUGAAGUAUAAGAAUGAUUUAUUGGCUUCUAUAGGAUGCUGCAGACGGUGCUUCACUUGCCAUGCUGAUCAAGGCUGCUUUGUUAGAAUAAAUAGUCUUGGAAAGAAGCCAAUGAGAUACUGCUUCUUUUUCUGGCGGACCAGUAACUCUUAAACCGCUCAGUGACAUGUGAUGGAACUGUCAAGUCGAGGCUAUCAAAGCUCUUUUAGAAAAUUUUGAUGAAGUAGUUGAAGCGCUGGAUGAAAUCAAACAUGGGGGGUUCAAAAGCUAGAGUUAAAACUUGUGCACUUUGCCUGCAAGACUUCAACUUCCUGUAGUGCAUGCUACUUAUGAGGAGAGUGCUUAUGCAAACCAGUCACCUACCCAAACCUUUUCAAUCAAAAGUCUUUUCAUUUCGUAGAGCAACAGUGAUGGCUAAAUCCACAGUGUCUGUACUUCAAAGACUGAGAAGUGAGGAGUUUGCGUCCCAAGUAUUCAACAACCCUUAUGAACCUUGCCAGAAGAAUGGGCAUCCUGGACCUUGUGUCCCUCCAUAAAAGGGUUGUUCCCUGAACACUGGGAGAAGGGGAAAUGUCCUUCUUUGAGAAACCAGAGGACUGUUACAGGACAGAAAUACUAUACAGAGCUUUGGACACCCUUAUUAGUGACAUGGAAGAUGGCUUUGCUGGGAAUGACCUAAAUGUUUUCAAAUCCCUGGAAGAUGUUCUCUCUUUUGAGACCCCGUCAGAGGAAAGCAUAGGCACCAUUUUCAAAACUUACAAGAUUGCUCAAGAGGAUUUGCAGCCUGAGAUCAACGUGUCUUCCAAACUGAAAUGCAUGGCAGCACUGGUACGAGUAGCAAAGUGGAGUGCCCCCCGGCUUGAAAGAAGAAUGAAGUUAUUUAAUAAAAUGUCACUGCUUGAUACCCUUCCAAAUCUGGGAAACCUCUUUGCACUUUACCCAACUGCUCAGUUACUACGGCAUUAGUAGAGAGAAGCUUUUCGUCACUGGCAGCUGAAAAAGUACCUGAGGGCUACGAUGACAGAUGCUCGUGUUUCUAACCUGGAAAUACUACAGAUUUAAAAAAUAAACUAUCAACAUACCUGAAAUCAUUGCACAGUUUGCCAGCAGAAAGGACCAAUGUCUACAAUUCUUUUAACAAGCCCGCAAAGACCCAGUGAGCCAAGCCCCAGAGCAUGAAGCCCUGGUGAGUUAAGCCUUGGAGAACAAAACCUUGGAGACUGAAGCCUUGCAGAACUCCGUUUAAUGGAUCCCCGUGGAGCCUGUGCAGCCUUCGGAGGGGCCACGGAGGAAAAGGAACAGCACAAAGGAACGUGCUACAGCCCAUUCACACCUUCACUUCAGCCCUGAUUUAGCCUGAGUGCGCACUUAUUUUACCCUUCCAGGUGCCUUGACAGUUGCGGGGAAGGAGGUGGGAUUUGGGUGCUCCUUGUUGCAGGUUUGGGCCUGAGUCUGUCUGUCUGUCUGUCUGUCUGUCUGUCUUCUAAUAAAAACAAAACAAGUAGAGGUGAGAUGCCCUCGGUGAUGAUUCUUACCAGGCCGACGGGCUGUGCCUGGGUCAUGCUCAAGGGCAGCAGCACUCAACUUUUUGGCCAGCUGAGUGGUUGGGGCCAUCUGCAGCCAUACUGGGCUCUGGGGCCUGGCCCCCGCCCUGCACGUGCUGGGGUCAAGUCCGGGGGGGUUGUGCACCUGUCCUGCCCCCCUGUGUGCCAGGGUUCAGAUGCUGCUCCCCUACUGGCACUCUACAGGUUGUAGGAAGUGUCAUGGGCUGGAUGCCCUGGCACUGCGGGCCAGAAGUCACUCUCCCUGCCCUGGAGCAUCUCGGUGUCGAAUUUUUGCAGGGCUGUUCAGCGUGUGCUGUUGCUUUGUGCUGCUCCAGCUUGCUCAGUGCACAGCGCCUGCAGCCUGGGGGGACCCCAGGAUGGCCAUGGGCACAGGACAUACAAAAGCCUGACGUAAAGCAGCUUGUGAUCUAGCUGGGUGCCUGGACAGCCCCAUUCAGGGGCACUGGCAGAGGAGGCUAAAUGCUCUGAUCUUUGGCAGUGGAUGCUGCUUUGGACAACGCACACCUUUUUUCCCUUUUCUUCCUUCUUUUUUUUUUUUUUUUUUGAGGUUGGGGAGGUGGGGCUAAGUGAGGAGAGCUUAAGAGUGCAAGGCCUUUUUUUUAUAUAAUUAAAAUGAAGUGUACGUUUUGUGUCUGUAUGCUUGCUUACAACUCGAGCAUGGUUAAGGUAUUGACUAAACCUUCCAAAAUCCCUGAAUAACACCUGAAGAAAAUCAUAGGCAGGUUAUUUUUCACUUGACCCUUUUUGGGGCUUUGAUUCACUGGGAUUACUUGGCUUCUGAGAUGGCAAACUGGUACUCCUCCAUUCUGGAUGCAGUGAAUUCAGUUCAAUUGUCAUUAUUAUAUCCAUGCUCACCUUUUUUUUUUCUCUCCACAUUAAAUAUUAAAUUAUAAUAUGUUGAGCACUGUUCUUUUAAAGGUAAAUAAUAUUUUUUA